rnacentral:rRNA from 1 species
UACGUAGGCAGCAAGCGUUGUUCGGAAUUACUGGGCGUAAAGAGUGUGUAGGCGGUGCUCCAAGUCUGGUGUGAAAUCUCCCGGCUUAACUGGGAGGGUGCAUUAGAAACUGGAAUGCUAGAGGAUGGGAGAGGUAAGCGGAAUUCCUGGUGUAGCGGUGAAGUGCGUAGAUAUCAGGAGGAACACCUGUGGUGUAGACAGCUUACUGGACCAUUUCUGACGCUGAGACACGAAAGCGUGGGUAGCAAACAGG